AUUGAACGCUGGCGGCGGGCCUAACACAUGCAAGUCGAACGAGUGGCGGACGGGUGAGUAGUGUCUGGGAAACUGCCUGAUGGAGGGGGAUAACUACUGUAAACGGUAGCUAAUACCGCAUACCAUCGGUUGUGGCCCGAUGGGAUUAGCUAGUAGGUGGGGUAAAGGCUCACCUGGGCGACGAUCCCUAGCUGGUCUGAGAGGAUGACCAGCCACACUGGAACGGAGACACGGUCCAGACUCCUACGGGAGGCAGGAGUGGGGAAUAUUGGACAAUGGGCGCAAGCCUGAUGCAGCCAGGCCGCGUGUGUGAAGAAGGCCUUCGGGUUGUAAAGUACUUUCAGCGGGGAGGCGUUACCCGACGAGGAAGCAACGGCUAACUCCGUGCCAGCAGCCGCGGUAAUAC
rnacentral:rRNA from 1 species